CGGAGCGUGGCGCAGCUUGGUAGCGCACUUGCAUGGGGUGCAAGGGGUCGGAGGUUCAAAUCCUCUCGCUCCGACCA
rnacentral:tRNA from 8 species